ensembl:lncRNA
UAGAGAUCUAUCCCUUUGUUGGUUAGAUGUCUUUUGUCCUUUAUUCCAACCCAUUUUCUCUUUUGUGAAAUGAUGUAUAUAUGAGACUAGUACUUCUUGUUUUGUUUAACAUUUCAAGAGUAUACACUUUAAAGGAGAAUACACUCAGCUGAUCAUAUAAUGUACAUUCUUUCUGCUUGGCUUUUGGAGCCCUAAUAAUUUAUGGGUUAUUUAUGAAAACACUGGCUGAAUGGACAUUAUUGCACUUGGACAUUGUUACAUGGCUACUCAAUAGUACAGUUGAGUAUUCCAGCAAGCUGUGUGUUAAUGUGGUGUGUAUUCUUCUCAUUUUAGCUCCUGCGUCCAUUUGGGCUGAAGGUCAAGACAGAACCAAACCAAAGCUGGACUGUAACCUACUGGCCUAUAUGACAGACUUCAUACUGACAGCUACUGGCAUGGAUGCUGCAUCACAUGUUUUUGAACAAAAAAAUUUCCCUUUGAAUUUCAAGUGUGGAGUAUUCAUCCCCCAUGAGGAGACUCUAUGUCUUCAUCUCUUACAUGAACAUCAUUGCUGCGGGGAAUAAAAGAAAGAACAGACAACCAGAGUCUUGUGUGCGUCGUCCAUUCAAAAUCUGUGACGGUUGUGUGGGAUGCGUUAAGGCCACAUUGGGGACAACAAUCGUGACACUGGAGCCGUGAUUCUUUUGGAUCCCUGAUCAGCUCGAUGCAGAUCGGCCGUGGUUGCUGCUCCUCAGCUGUGUUUGAAUCCUGUUUGUAUCUUCAGUGUUAUGGCCAAAGACAGUUAACGCAUACACAAAACAUGACCACAGCUGAGUGAUUAUCGAUGACCUAACACAGUUUGAAUAAGGACUUUUGAGCACACUUACACUGAUAUAGUUUUUUUUUUUUCUUUACUUUUUAUACAUAUUUUCUAAGUGGAGUGUUGUUUUAGUGUCUCAUUAUUCUCUUUUUGCGGUCUAUAAUACAUAUUCAUUUAUAACUUGUAAGUAACUGUGACUAAGAUAUGACUGAAAACAAUCACUAUGAUACUGAAAUGGACAGGAUAUUCAUGGAAGCCGCUGGUUUUCCCAGAGGGAGAGGUGCUUGGCUCGCUGGAGCUUCUGGGAAUGAUGUUUUUAGUGAUGGUGGCAGAAGGGGGGUGGGUCAGUCAAGGUCUCACAAUGACCACAUUGGGGGUCAUGGUUUACAGAUAACAGAUAAUUCUCCUGUUGGUCGUGCCACAGCUGAGUUCCUUUGAACUUCGACACCUUAUACUGAGAGGGAUGCUCUUAGCCACCUCACAGAUAUGAUGGGCCAGUUAGGUACGCAGAUUGAAGAAACAGUCGUCUCCAGGCUGCUUUCAUGAGUGGAGAGCUAAAGAUAUACAGAGCAGAAUUGAUGACUAUCAAAGAGAAUACACAGUUCGUGCUGGUGCGUAUUGUAAAGAGCCACACUUCAGCUGCGCUUAAUAAGGAACAUACUGAGCAUAAUCACCUUGUCAGCUUUUCGCAGUCUGCUAUUCAGGAUGCAUCAGUUUUCCAUUGGCUGGGGGAAGAAACUCUUCCUGAGUGUCAUGGGUUUUUGCCAUUAGGC